GUCCGCUGAUGAUCCAGCCAUGCUAAUACCGAUACAACAGGUGGACAGUGUGUCUGCCUGUGUGUACAUGAGUUCAAUUGAACUUCUCACAUGUGAGUACUCUGAGGAUA